AGUCUCCUAAAUGUGUAAUACAUCUGGUCGCCGCCUUCGAGUGGUUUGACGGGCACAUCUCAUACUGAAGUUGGCUGGCAGGCUAAAAGUCAAGCAAUGUCUCCAAUAUUCUUCUCUCAAGGCAUCGCAUCGGAUAUUUCAAGAGAGCCUACGUUUUAGAGGCGCCAUUCUCGGCACCGGCGAGAGAAGUCCUCGACGCCAUUGCUAACCGCCAAUCUCCGGGAACGCGACCACGUCAACUCGGAACGCCGUCGCGUUCUGGACACCGCCGCUUCGCCUUUGCUCGUCGCCCGGCUUCCACAGUCCACCAUUGGUCAAGCCAUCUCGCCAUCAUCUUCACCAGCACCCAUUGACCAAGAAUCCCGAAGGAAUAGGCACGUGGUGAACCAUGGUGGGAGAUCUCCAUCUUCUUCCCCAACUCCGGCCGCCCACGCCAUUCCUCUCUUCUUCCUUCUCUGAUCAAGACCGGAGGUGUACCGCCAACGACAACCGUAGCCGCUGCGCCGCUGCCAGACCAGCUCUCCAUCGCCAAGACCGUGCUGAGCCGUGUUCGCUGCUUGAUGUCUACUGUGUGGCAACCACUAGGCUAUUCCGGAGAUUAUGAGGAAGGAUCAUUGCCUCACAUCUUGUGGCUCAUGCUGCAACAUCUUGGCCAUAACCACCCACCGGAGUAUCAUUUCUUUUCUCUUGAACAGAGUUCAUCUCUCCGAGCUUAUAUGGCUGAGCUGUGUAUACAAGGAUUUUGGACCCAUGAAUCACCCAUUUACUUUCAAGCUUAUGGUUGGGAUGCACCCUCAGCAAUGCAUGAGGCCGCAUUUCAAGCGAUUGUGUAUUAUCGA